rnacentral:rRNA from 1 species
UACAGAGGGGGCAAGCGUUGUUCGGAAUUACUGGGCGUAAAGGGCGCGUAGGCGGCCUGCUAAGUCGAACGUGAAAAUCCCUGGGCUCAACCCAGGAACUGCGUCCGAUACUGGUUGGCUUGAAUCCGGGAGAGGGACGUGGAAUUCCAGGUGUAGCGGGUGAAAAUGCGUAGAUAUCUGGAGGAACACCGGUGGCGAAGGCGACGUCCUGGACCGGCAUUGACG